rnacentral:rRNA from 1 species
ACAAGCGUCAUAUCACGUUGAGAACACCGGUUCUCGUCCUAUCACCGAAGUUAAGCAACGUCGAGCCUAGUUAGUACUUAGAUGGGUGACCGCACGGGAAACCUAGGUACUGUAAGCA